CAAUAGCGUAUAUUGAAGUUGUUGCGGUUAAAAAGCUCGUCGUUGGAUUUCUGUUGAGGUCGAACAGUGCCGCCCUAUGGGUGCGCAACUGGCUCGGCUUCGGCAUCUUCUUGGAGAGCGCAUCUGCACUUAACUGUGUGGAUCGUACUUCAAGUCAGUUACUUUGAGGAAUUGUGAGUGCUUCAAGCAGGCUUACGCCGUUGAAUCCGUUAGCAUGGAAUAAUAGGAUAGGACCUCGGUUCUAUUUUGUUGGUUUUGAGAGCUGGGGCAGCGAUUGAUAGGGACGGAUGGGGGCGUCCGAACUUUACUGUCAGAGGUGAAAUUCUUAGAUCGGUCAAAGGCGAACUACUGCGAACGCAUUCGCCAAGAAUGUUUUCUUUAA
rnacentral:rRNA from 1 species